rnacentral:rRNA from 1 species
CUACGGGACGCUGCAGUAAGGAAUAUUGGUCAAUGGGCGCGAGCCUGAACCAGCCAUCCCGCGUGCAGGAUGACGGCCCUAUGGGUUGUAAACUGCUUUUCUAUGCCAAGAAACCUGAUUACGUGUAAUCAGUUGCCGGUAGCAUAGGAAUAAGCAUCGGCUAACUCCGUGCCAGCAGCCGCGGUAAUACGGAGGAUGCAGCGUUAUCCGGAUUCAUUGGGUUUAAAGGGUGCGCAGGUGGGCUUUUAAGUCAGUGGUGAAAUGCUGCCGCUUAACGGUAGAACUGCCAUUGAUACUGCGAGUCUUGAGUAUGGUUGAGGUAGGCGGAAUGUGUUGUGUAGCGGUGAAAUGCAUAGAUAUGACACAGAACGCCAAUUGCGAAGGCAGCUUACUAAGCCAUUACUGACGCUGAGGCACGAAAGCGUGGGGAGCGAACAGGAUUAGAUACCCCCGUAGUC